UACGGGGGGGGCAAGCGUUGUUCGGAAUUACUGGGCGUAAAGGGCGCGUAGGCGGCCGCCUAAGUCAGACGUGAAAUCCCCCGGCUUAACCUGGGAACUGCGUCUGAUACUGGACGGCUUGAGUAUGGGAGAGGGAUGUAGAAUUCCAGGUGUAGCGGUGAAAUGCGUAGAUAUCUGGAGGAAUACCGGUGGCGAAGGCGGCAUCCUGGACCAUUACUGACGCUGAGGCGCGAAAGCUAGGGGAGCAAACGGG
rnacentral:rRNA from 1 species